ensembl:snoRNA Gm24257 predicted gene, 24257
CCUGUCCCUAGAGGCAUUGCAGGUGUGGCUACUGUGUUGCAUGUGUGUCAGUAGGUGGUAGAGAGGGAAAGGCCAUGUCUACACUCAGUGUCCUGACCUGGGAACAUCUGAAUGAGCAGUAGCCUAACACU